GUAGAGAUCACUAUUUUGUUCUAAACAAUUUGCUCUUGGCUCAUAGUCAUGCCAUGGAUUCAUGUUAACCACCACCUCCACCUGUUCAGCUUUUCACCGCCGCAGCACCACCCUUCCCACCUGUAAACCCAGAAACCAUUCACAACAAUACAAUCACCAUAAUUAUCAGCCACUCUUAUUAUCUUUGAAGGGUGCAAAAAGAUUGAAAGUCUGUCAGACCACCACCUGACCAUCCCAGCCGAGCAUACCCAACUGAGAACGAUCCUCUACUGCCCCGAUGACCCUGAACUAGGGCCAGGGUGCUGUUAAUCACGCUCUAGUCAGGUGGACAUACAUCCUCAGUCAGACUUGGUUUCUUGUCUCCUUAGAAUUCAAGGAUACAGAGGUACGAGCCUAUAGAACAGAUCCUGUUCAAGUAAGAUAUGCGUGAAGGUGUUUGGUGAAAUGCCUUACAGGGACUUGGUGUCUUGGACUGAUGAUUUCGGGGUAUGUUGGGUGAAAAGAAUGAUGGUGGCGCUUCUCGAUCGUUAAGUGAAAUGCAGAAAGAGGUUGAACACAAUUGUAAUGAUACGGAUAUGCUGAAGUUUUGUCGUGGGUACUUGAUCAAAAGUGGUUUCUCGAUUGAUCAAUUGGUGAAAGAUUCAAUCUUGUAAAUGUAUACUAACGUUGGUAGACCGGUAGUGUUGAUGAUGAGAAAACUCUUUUCGAAAAAAUUAAUAAAUUUGAUGUUGUUUCUUGGAAUAUAGCGAUAUCCUUGCAUUCUU